GAUGAACGCUAGCGAUAGGCUUAACACAUGCAAGUCGAGGGGCAGCACAAGGUAGCUUGCUAUCUGGGUGGCGACCGGCGCACGGGUGCGUAACGCGUAUGCAACUUGCCCUAUACAGGAGGAUAACCCGUCGAAAGACGAACUAAUACUGCGUAUGCUCACAACUUGGCAUCAAGUGGUGAGGAAAGAAAUUCGGUAUAGGAUAGGCAUGCGUCCCAUUAGCUUGUUGGUGAGGUAACGGCUCACCAAGGCAACGAUGGGUAGGGGAACUGAGAGGUUUAUCCCCCACACUGGUACUGAGACACGGACCAGACUCCUACGGGAGGCAGCAGUGAGGAAUAUUGGUCAAUGGGCGCGAGCCUGAACCAGCCAAGUCGCGUGAAGGAUGACUGUCUUAUGGAUUGUAAACUUCUUUUAUACGGGAAUAACAAGAGUCACGUGUGACUCCCUGCAUGUACCGUAUGAAUAAGCAUCGGCUAACUCCGUG
rnacentral:rRNA from 1 species